rnacentral:sRNA from 1 species
AAUGGAAGAUGGCAAUCUAAAAACGCCACGUCCUGUGGCAACGAUUGCAUGACCAACGUCCUGUUGG